CUCUCUCUUUUACAGCUAUCGAGUGCAAAUCCUGUGUAUGAGAAAUUUUAUCGACAGGAGAGUAGCAGUUUUGAAAUUGCCAAACAAGAGAGAGUUUACCUUGAUCUAGGUUCGGAUGGCUCCUGAAGGUUGAAGGAGAAAGUAUCACCCUCACAGUUUUCCUUCAAUAUGGUGGACAAAUCCACUGUGUGUCUAUCUCUAGGCAUUGGAUUAAAAGCCUUAGGAGAAUCCCAUAUUCUGGUGUUCAUUAUAAGGUUGAUUCUGCUAAUGCUGGAAGAGUGUUAGCUUCUGAUGCAGCUGUUUUCUUGAAAAAGUCUGGAUUGACAGAUUU